AGAUGUGAGGGCGAUCUCAUUGAUCGCCAGGGUCAAUUUGGGCUGAUCGGGCUGGCUAAGAGGGUGUCCCCUUCCUCCCUCACUGCUCCAUGUGCAUUUCUGUCCCUCAGGAAGAGGACAACCUUCCCUGAUAGAGAAGGACCGUUUCGGCUAAGGGUAUACAGGUAGCUGUGCUUUGCUCUAGAACCUCCAAGCAAGCACUCAUAGUCCAUUUGUAGGAGAAUGUAGGCUAGUCAAGCUUCCAAGACUCCAGACACAUCCAAAGGAGGCACUGCAUGUGACAGUCUGCCUUUCUUU
rnacentral:snRNA from 1 species